AAAGAACAUUAAGAGAAGUUUGGUGAAAACUAAGCUCAGCAACCUGGGAAAGGCACCCAAGGUGCUUCCAGUAUUUACUGGGAUGAGGCCCGAUAGAAUUGGGCAACAAAGUGUCUGAGUA
rnacentral:ncRNA from 1 species